UGGGAAUUUUGGACGAAUUGGGCGAAAGCCUGAUCCAGCAAUGCCGCGUGUGUGAAGAAGGCCUUCGGGUUGUAAAGCACUUUUGUCCGGAAAGAAAUCCUUGGCUCUAAUACAGUCGGGGGAUGACGGUACCGGAAGAAUAAGCACCGGCUAACUACGUGCCAGCAGCCGCGGUAAUACGUAGGGUGCAAGCGUUAAUCGGAAUUACUGGGCGUAAAGCGUGCGCAGGCGGUUUGCUAAGACCGAUGUGAAAUCCCCGGGCUCAACCUGGGAACUGCAUUGGUGACUGGCAGGCUAGAAGUAUGGCAGAGGGGGGUAGAAUUCCACGUGUAGCAGUGAAAUGCGUAGAGAUGUGGAGAAUACCGAUGGCGAAGGCAGCCCCCUGGGCCAAGUACUGACGCUCAUGCACG
rnacentral:rRNA from 1 species